UUCUGGGUCAUAUGGUAACUCUCUGUUUAUCCUUUUGAGGAACUGCCUAUUUUCAUAAACCUGACAGCCUUGAAGAGUACAGGCUUAGUCUGCUGUUUUCCUCAUAAUUAGACCUUGAUUAUAGGUUUUGAGAAUUAAUAUCAUUAAAUUGAAGUGAACUUCUUGUCACAUUAUAUCCGGGAGUCAUAAUACCUACAUGAUGUAACUGGUGAUGUUAAACUUCAUCAUUUAAUGAAGUUGGGGUUUGUUAAGUUUCUCCAGUGUACAGAAACUAUUUUCCACAUGCCUGGAGAGCAUGUGGAAAGAAGAAAGAAAACACUCAUAGGUUUUUAAUUUCACUAUGAAUCAGUGCCAUGUCUAUGUGCUAGAAUGAGUGUCCGAAUUGGGCUGGGGGAAAAGAAAAGGAGGUUCCACCAUCUCCAUCCAACUGAGUCAUGGACUUCAUAAAUAGAGUUAAGGGUAAGGGAAUGAAGUCAUAACUCACCCCAUUUCUUUCUGUUUCCUGUUUUUUUAUAUCCCUUAUUUCCCCCCACCCUGUUGUAUAUGAGAGAAGUGUGUUUCCUUUGCACUCCUGAGGGGCCUGAUGAAAGCCUCAUAUUAUGUCUGCUGGGCAGGACACUGGAGCAAGAGAGAUCAGAGAUGUCUCUGCAUCCUGGUAUCAGACUCAAACCAUAACUCCCAAACCAGUUCUUGACUCAGGGGGUACUGUGGAUCCCUGUCUACAUCCCAUAGUGUCACAAACAGUGGGGGCAAAGUGGUGGAGAAGGAGGCGAAGGUAGAAGUGGCCGAUAACCUCAAAGAAGGACAUUUCCUUUGGGGCUUUGAAAGAUAAGGUACAACAUAGAAUCAAAGAUGAUUUCUGUGUCACUUAGGACAGCAGUACCAAGCAGGAGAUUUCCCUGGGUCCUGGUGAAGACCUCACCUCAUAACUCUGGGACGACCGUGGAACCCCAGAUAUCUGGAUGUCAACACCAUCUCACUUCACCACAAACUUCAGGGGACAAGUUCUAAUUAUUCUGAACCUGUCAAACCUGGAAUUUACCUAAGUGCCAUUACUGGUUGAGGAUGUCCAACCCUCUUAAAAUGGCCUGAUCGGAUUGAAGGGAUGGCCUUUUAUUCUAUAGUUAGGAAAGGUUUUCCCUCUCUCCUGAAGGACAGAAACAAAGAAGAAUGUAGACUCUAUCACCGCAAAUGGCCAUCUUGUUAUAUUAGGGGUAAUUCCAGCCUUAGGAUGAAGCUGACACCAGGCAUAGCAGAAGCUGGCCAGAGAUGGAAGGAACCUGGAUCCUUAAUGACUUCAUUUAGUUACUGAAUCAGUGGCCCCCGAUGCCUGUUCUACCUACCUCAGCUCUUCCUGCUAUGUGAAAUCACAAACUUAUUUAAUAGUUAAGCUAGUUUGAGGGGAUUAUUUUUUAUAUACAGCUAAAACUCCAUAUGCAAUAUAACUGAUAUGAUAAUAUUUCCUAAAGAGUUUUCCAUUUCAUUCUGCUCAGAACUACUCCAUUAUUUAUAAUGGCUGUAUAGCUUUUCCAAGUAUUAUUACAUCUAAUGUACUCAUCUUUCCCGUUAUUUAUAAGCGUUAGUCUUAUUGAGAUUUUUGGUUUUUCAAAAAUGCUAAAGUAAACAUCCUAUUAUUGCAUAUAUUUACAUACUUGCACACUUAGAUAUUUUCAAAGCCCAAAUACAGACUAUUUGUAUGACGACAAAUAAUACAAUUGAUAUAGUACAGUACUAGGCAUAAAAUUUCUAGGUUACAGAAGUAUUUUAAUGCUUAUUUCCAACCUACCUUCCAGAAAUGUUGUACCAGUUCUCAUUCUCACCAGUACUGUAUAAAAGUGCGCAUUUUUCUAAACCCUCAUCUCUAGGUAUAAAUAAUUAAUAAUGUCAUAGAUUCAGAAGUCAGACUGUCUAUGUUCAAAUCCCACCCUCACAAGUAUAUAGUAACGUUUCUUUGAAUGUGUGGUCCAAUCUCCUUAUAGUAGUAUCCGAAAGCAAUUUAUGUGGUUAGGGAAAUUGAAUGAGAUAAGGCAUGUAAAGCACUUAGAUCAUAAGUGGUCAAUAAAUGUUGGCUGAUGUUAUUAUCAAAAUUAUUUGCCAAAUUGUUACUUCAAAAUGUUACUUGCUCUCAUUUGCAUUUCCUUAAUUACUAGUUAAUAUGGGCUGAAUAUUUGUGUUCCCCCAAAAUAAAUAUGUUCAAGCCCUAAUCCCCAAUGUAACAGUAUUUGGAUGUAGGACCCUUAGAAGAUACUCAGGGUUAGAUUAGAUCAUGAGAGUGAGGCUCUCUGGAGAAGAUUAGUGGCCUUAUAAAAAGAAGAAGAGACACAGGAUCUCUUUCUCUGCCUGUGAAGAUACAGCAAAAAGGAAGCCAUCUAUAAUACAAUUUGGGAAGAAAACUCUCAGUGAACUCAACAAUGCUGGUGCUCUGACUCCAACCUCCAGACAGUGAGAAGUAAAAUUCUGUUGUUUAAGUCACCUAGUAUAUGGUAUUUUGUUAUAGCAGCUUGAAUUAAGAUGU